CCUACGGGAGGCAGCAGUAGGGAAUAUUGCUCAAUGGGGGAAACCCUGAAGCAGCAACGCCGCGUGGAGGAUGACACUUUUCGGAGCGUAAACUCCUUUUGUUAGGGAAGAACAAUGACGGUACCUAACGAAUAAGCACCGGCUAACUCCGUGCCAGCAGCCGCGGUAAUACGGAGGGUGCAAGCGUUACUCGGAAUCACUGGGCGUAAAGGACGCGUAGGCGGAUUAUCAAGUCUCUUGUGAAAUCCUAUGGCUUAACCAUAGAACUGCUUGGGAAACUGGUAAUCUAGAGUGAGGGAGAGGCAGAUGGAAUUGGUGGUGUAGGGGUAAAAUCCGUAGAGAUCACCAGGAAUACCCAUUGCGAAGGCGAUCUGCUGGAACUCAACUGACGCUAAUGCGUGAAAGCGUGGGGAGCAAACAGGAUUAGAUACCCCAGUAGUC
rnacentral:rRNA from 1 species